UUACUUCUCCCUCUGUCUGGAAAUAUUUGUCAAAGAAAUGGAUGUAUCCAGAUUUAUUUUAGUUCUAGAUACAUCCGCUUUUAUCCAUUUAUACGACAAGUAAUUCCGGACGGAGGGAGUAGCUA
rfam:Triticum aestivum genome assembly, contig: Triticum_aestivum_CS42_TGACv1_scaffold_641866_T_4AL-0.152111_4AS-0.092207